UUCGUCGAUCUGGCCUUUUGGCUAAGAUCAAGCACAGUAUCUGUUCUUAUCAGUUUAAUAUCUGAUAUGUCCUUUCUUUGAGGACUGUAUAUUAAAUUGAUUUUUGGAACAGGGGGAUGGAAUACGAGCUUGCUCUGUCCACCCCAUGCAUCAACCUGGUAUUGCAGUACCUCCAGGAAACUCCCU
rnacentral:snRNA from 1 species